UAUUAAGCAAUACCUUAUUUGAUAUUUCAGUUUCCCACAGCCGGACGAAAGCCUAGGUAAAACUAAAACCCGUAACUUGCCUCUCUUCUCCGUCUCUCUCUCUACCCCCGAAACCCUAACUUUUACUGGUAGCUGGAUUCAUCGUCGCCGGUGACUAGGCCGUCGCUUAUGGAGACUCAAUCCAGAAAAAAAAUUUCCCAAAAUGAUCAUCACCGGAUCAAGGUGAAAGAAAUCAAUUUUUCCACUCAAUUCAAGAUUCAAGAUGUGAAGAGUAGUGACAUUGUAUUAGUUGUGAUGUAUUAUUAUUUAUUUUGUUCUUUGUAAAUUUAUGUUUUGCAUUGUGAUGUAACAACAAUAUUAUCUAUUUUGCAUUUUUAUUUAUUUUUUUCUUCAA